GACGAACGCUGGCGGCGUGCUUAACACAUGCAAGUCGAGCGGUAAGGCCCUUCGGGUACGACGAGCGGCGAACGGGUGAGUAACACGUGGGUGACCUGCCUCUAGCUCUGGGAUAAGCCUGGGAAACUGGGUCUAAUACCGGAUAUGACUCCACGGCGCAUGUUGUGGGGUGGAAAGCCUUGUGUGGCUAGAGAUGGGCCCGCGGCCUAUCAGCUUGUUGGUGGGGUGAUGGCCUACCAAGGCGACGACGGGUAGCCGGCCUGAGAGGGCGACCGGCCACACUGGGACUGAGACACGGCCCAGACUCCUACGGGAGGCAGCAGUGGGGAAUCUUGCGCAAUGGGCGAAAGCCUGACGCAGCGACGCCGCGUGAGGGAUGACGGCCUCGG
rnacentral:rRNA from 1 species